rnacentral:lncRNA from 1 species
UUGAAAUAACAUCAGAAUGUUUAACAAAUAUAUUUUUAUACACAAAGAGCUUAUUUAGGUUUGCAAAAAUUAUCAGAACGUGGUAAAGAUUCACUUGGCUUAUAGAAUUUUUCUUUAAAGUCUGAAUACUUUUGGUUCCGCCAUGUAGAAUUCCCAUUACCACUGGCCCUGCUGUCUGAAUUGCUGCAGCACUUGCACCCACACCCAGGUGUAAUGCCCAGCCCACCAACAGCCCACAGCUGGACAGAAUUAGGGUAUUUCUUGAUGGGAGUGCUCCAGACAUUGCUUUCUCCAGUCAUUGCCUUCCUCAUUGAUUAGCGCCUUGCAGUCCUUACCUAUGCUUUCUCUGAAGGUUUUUUUUAAUCUUUGUAUUGUCUUCAAGACCUCUGGCACCACACAUGCAUUGCAGAUACAGCACUGAGACUCCAGCCUCCAGGUGGUACCACAGGACAAAGUAUAAAGGAACCUAUGUCUGCAGGGCACUCUCCAGCCUGACCUCUUAAAUCCAUGGAGCCAGCAGAGCCACCUGCCUCGGUUACAAUGCCACAGAUGUGGAGCAGCACUUCCUCCAGCUCCAGGGAUCACAUCAGUGUAUUCAGACUGAGAGUCAGGACGUAUAUCCCACUAUGA